rnacentral:rRNA from 1 species
UCCAGACUCCUACGGGAGGCAGCAGUGGGGAAUAUUGCACAAUGGGGGGAACCCUGAUGCAGCGACGCCGCGUGGGUGAAGGAGUACUUCGGUACGUAAAGCCCUAUCAGCAGGAAAGAAAAUGACGGUACCUGACUAAGAAGCCCCGGCUAACUACGUGCCAGCAGCCGCGGUAAUACGUAGGGGGCAAGCGUUAUCCGGAUUUACUGGGUGUAAAGGGAGCGUAGACGGCAGUGCAAGUCCGGAGUGAAAGCCCGGGGCUCAACCCUGGGACUGCUCUGGAAACUGUAAAGCUGGAGUACGGGAGGGGCAGGCGGAAUUCCUGGAGUAGCGGUGAAAUGCGUAGAUAUCAGGAGGAACACCGGUGGCGAAGGCGGCCUGCUGGACUGCAACUGACGUUGAGGCCCGAAAGCGUGGGGAGCAAACAGGAUUAGAUACCCCCGUA